ACUCCACUCACUGUAGCUACUGCCGUAAAAUCGUCAUCGAGAAAGCACAUUCACACACAACCAGAGAAGCAAAAAGGGAGAGAAUAGAGCAAACUCUCUGUCUUCAGUACAAAAAAUCUUUGAUUUCAAUUUGAGAGAGAUCGGAAAUGGCUUCUUCCAAAGAACGUGAGAACUUCGUCUACGUCGCUAAGCUCGCUGAGCAAGCCGAACGCUACGAUGAAAUGGUUGAAGCAAUGAAGAAUGUCGCAAACAUGGAUGUUGAAUUGACUGUGGAGGAAAGGAAUCUUCUUUCUGUUGGUUAUAAGAAUGUGGUAGGUUCUAGGAGAGCAUCUUGGAGGAUCUUGUCCUCUAUUGAGCAGAAGGAAGAAUCUAGAGGGAAUGAGCAAAAUGUCAAGCGAAUCAAGGAGUACCUGCAAAAGGUGGAGUCGGAGCUCACCAACAUUUGCAAUGAUAUUAUGGUGGUCAUUGAUCAGCAUCUAAUUCCGUCGUGCACUGCAGGCGAAUCAACUGUGUUUUACCACAAAAUGAAGGGGGACUAUUAUCGUUAUCUUUGCAGAAUUUAAAGCUGGUAAUGACAAGAAGGAGGUUUGCUGAGCUUUCGUUGAAAGCAUAUCAGUCAGCUACAACUGCUGCGGAGCGGAAUUACCACCCACUCAUCCAAUUCGUUUGGGGACUGGCUUUGAAUUUCUCUGUUUUCUACUAUGAGAUCAUGAAUUCACCUGAAAGGGCAUGCCAUCUGGCAAAACAGGCCUUCGAUGAAGCAAUAUCUGAGCUGGAUAGCCUGAAUGAGGAUUCCUACAAAGACAGCACCUUGAUUAUGCAGCUUCUAAGGGACAACCUCACCUUGUGGACUUCUGAUCUUCCAGAGGAUGCUGAAGAUGCCCAAAAGGGAGAUGCCACAAACAAAGCUGGUGGAGGUGAAGAUGCAGAGUGAGUGGGCCUAAUGGUUAGAACUACUAUGUGUAUUUGGAGGUGUGAGGGACAAGGAUUACGCCAAGGGGG